GCAGCAACGCCGCGUGAGUGAUGAAGGCUCUUGGGUCGUAAAGCUCUGUCAAGUGGGAAGAAACCUCUUGGAGUUAAUACCUUCGUGAAUUGACGGUACCACUGAAGGAAGCACCGGCUAACUCCGUGCCAGCAGCCGCGGUAACACGGGGGGUGCAAGCGUUAUUCGGAUUUAUUGGGCGUAAAGGGCGCGUAGGCGGCCAUUUAAGUCGGGUGUGAAAUCCCGGGGCUUAACCCCGGAACUGCAUCCGAUACUGGAUGGCUUGAGUAUGGGAGAGGGAAGUGGAAUUCCAGGUGUAGAGGUGAAAUUCGUAGAUAUCUGGAGGAACACCAGUGGCGAAGGCGACUUCCUGGACCAAUACUGACGCUGAUGCGCGAAGGCGUGGGGAGCAAACAGGAUUAGAUACC
rnacentral:rRNA from 1 species